rnacentral:tRNA from 1 species
UUGACUGUAGCUUAACCUAAAAGCAUAGCNCUGAAAAUGCUAAGAUGGUGUGACCCUNCANCAAA